GAUGAACGCUAGCUACAGGCUUAACACAUGCAAGUCGAGGGGCAGCAUGGUCUUAGCUUGCUAAGGCCGAUGGCGACCGGCGCACGGGUGAGUAACACGUAUCCAACCUGCCGUCUACUCUUGGACAGCCUUCUGAAAGGAAGAUUAAUACAAGAUGGCAUCAUGAGUCCGCAUGUUCACAUGAUUAAAGGUAUUCCGGUAGACGAUGGGGAUGCGUUCCAUUAGAUAGUAGGCGGGGUAACGGCCCACCUAGUCUUCGAUGGAUAGGGGUUCUGAGAGGAAGGUCCCCCACAUUGGAACUGAGACACGGUCCAAACUCCUACGGGAGGCAGCAGUGAGGAAUAUUGGUCAAUGGGCGAGAGCCUGAACCAGCCAAGUAGCGUGAAGGAUGACUGCCCUAUGGGUUGUAAACUUCUUUUAUAAAGGAAUAAAGUCGGGUAUGGAUACCGUUGCAUGUACUUUAUGAAUAAGGAUCGGCUAACUCCGUGCCAG
rnacentral:rRNA from 1 species